rnacentral:lncRNA from 1 species
ACAGACUCAGAACCUUGACAAUCAAAGAGAAGUCGAUCUGUUAAAAUUACUAGACUUAGAACAUAUUAACACUUGAAUUUUUUAGAAUUUUUAAGUCUUAAAGUUUGUCUAAGUUGUAUUUUGUCUACACCUCUGAUUGUAUAUUAAGUGUAGUUAUUACCCAAAUAUCUUAAAAGUUUGUUAUAGAGUCAUAAGUCUCUUAUUUUAAUACUUGAGAAUUUGAAGUAUUUAGCUUGUG